ACGGAAGGCAGCAGUGGGGAAUAUUGCACAAUGGGGGAAACCCUGGUGCAGCGACGCCGCGUGAAGGAAGAAGUAUCUCGGUAUGUAAACUUCUAUCAGCAGGGAAGAAAAUGACGGUACCUGACUAAGAAGCCCCGGCUAACUACGUGCCAGCAGCCGCGGUAAUACGUAGGGGGCAAGCGUUAUCCGGAUUUACUGGGUGUAAAGGGAGCGUAGACGGAAUUGCAAGUCUGAUGUGAAAGGCAUGGGCUCAACCUGUGGACUGCAUUGGAAACUGUGAUUCUUGAGUGCCGGAGGGGUAAGCGGAAUUCCUGGUGUAGCGGUGAAAUGCGUAGAUAUCAGGAGGAACACCGGUGGCGAAGGCGGCUUACUGGACGGCAACUGACGUUGAGGCUCGAAGGCGUGGGGAGCAAACAGGAUUAGAUACCCUGGUA
rnacentral:rRNA from 1 species